GGCAGUCUGGUGCCAGCAGCCGCGGUAAUUCCAGCUCCAAUAGCGUAUAUUAAACUUGUUGCAGUUAAAAAGCUCGUAGUUGAACUUCAGCCGUGUUGCUGUGCGAUUUUGAUCGCGUGUGCGGUGCGGCUUAUCUUUUUACUUUGAGAAAAUUAGAGUGUUUCAAGCAGACUUUUGUCUUGAAUACUUCAGCAUGGAAUAAUAGAGUAGGACCUGUGUUCUAUUUUGUUGGUUUGUGAGCGUGGGUAAUGGUUAAUAGGAACGGUUGGGGGCAUUCGUAUUUAACUGUCAGAGGUGAAAUUCUUAGAUUUGUUAAAGACGAACUACUGCGAAAGCAUUUGCCAAGGACGUUUUCAUUAAUCAAGAACGAAAGUUAGGGGAUCGAAGACGAUCAGAUACCGUCGUAGUCCUA
rnacentral:rRNA from 1 species